rnacentral:SRP_RNA from 1 species
GCCGGGUGUGGUGGCACACACCUGUAAUCCCAGCUACUUGGAAGGCCAAGGCAGGAGAAUUGCUUGAACCUGGGAGGUGGAGGUUGUGGUGAGCCAAGAUUGCACCAUUGCACUCCAGCCUGGGUAACAAGAGCAAGACUGUCUCCAAGGAAAAAAAAAAAAAAAAAGUAAAUAAGAUGGAGUCUCACUCUGUUGCCCAGACUGGAGUGCAGUGGUGCAAUCUCGGCUCACUGUAACCUCCACCUCCCAAGUUCAAGCGAUUCUCCUGCCUC